UGGGGAAUCUUGGACAAUGGGGGCAACCCUGAUCCAGCCAUGCCGCGUGAGUGAUGAAGGCCUUAGGGUCGUAAAGCUCUUUCGCCUGUGAAGAUAAUGACGGUAGCAGGUAAAGAAACCCCGGCUAACUCCGUGCCAGCAGCCGCGGUAAUACGGAGGGGGUUAGCGUUGUUCGGAAUUACUGGGCGUAAAGCGCACGUAGGCGGACCAGAAAGUUGGGGGUGAAAUCCCGGGGGCUCAACCCCGGAACUGCCUCCAAAACUAUUGGUCUAGAGUUCGAGAGAGGUGAGUGGAAUUCCAAGUGUAGAGGUGAAAUUCGUAGAUAUUUGGAGGAACACCAGUGGCGAAGGCGGCUCACUGGCUCGAUACUGACGCUGAGGUGCGAAAGUGUGGGGAGCAAAACAGGAUUAGAUACCCUGGUAGUCCACACCGUAAAACGAUGAAUGCCAGUCGUCGGGUAGCAUGCUAUUCGGUGACACACCUAACGGAUUAAGCAUUCCGCCUGGGGAGUACGGUCGCAAGAUUAAAACUCAAAUGAAUUG
rnacentral:rRNA from 1 species